CCUACGGGCGGCAGCAGUGAGGAAUAUUGGUCAAUGGACGAGAGUCUGAACCAGCCAAGUAGCGUGAAGGAUGACUGCCCUAUGGGUUGUAAACUUCUUUUAUAUGGGAAUAAAAUGUUCCACGUGUGGGAUUUUGUAUGUACCAUAUGAAUAAGGAUCGGCUAACUCCGUGCCAGCAGCCGCGGUAAUACGGAGGAUCCGAGCGUUAUCCGGAUUUAUUGGGUGUAAAGGGAGCGUAGGUGGAUUGGUAAGUCAGUUGUGAAAGUUUGCGGCUCAACCGUAAAAUUGCAGUUGAAACUGGCAGGCUUGAGUACAGUAGAGGUAGGCGGAAUUCGUGGUGUAGCGGUGAAAUGCUUAGAUAUCACGAAGAACACCGAUUGCGAAGGCAGCUCACUGGACUGCAACUGACACUGAGGCUCGAAAGUGUGGGUAUCAAACAGGAUUAGAUACCCUGGUAGUC
rnacentral:rRNA from 1 species